rnacentral:rRNA from 1 species
GACGAACGCUGGCGGCGUGCUUAACACAUGCAAGUCGAACGGAAAGGCCCUGCUUUUGUGGGGUGCUCGAGUGGCGAACGGGUGAGUAACACGUGAGUAACCUGCCCUUUACUUUGGGAUAACUUCAGGAAACUGGGGCUAAUACCGGAUAGGAGCUCCUGCUGCAUGGUGGGGGUUGGAAAGUUUCGGCGGUUGGGGAUGGACUCGCGGCUUAUCAGCUUGUUGGUGGGGUAGUGGCUUACCAAGGCUUUGACGGGUAGCCGGCCUGAGAGGGUGACCGGCCACAUUGGGACUGAGAUACGGCCCAGACUCCUACGGGGGGCAGCAGUGGGGAAUAUUGCACAAUGGCCGGAAGCCUGAUGCAGCAACGCCGCGUGCGGGAUGACGGCCUUCGGGUUGUAAACCGCUUUCGCCUGUGACGAAGCGUGAGUGACGGUAAUGGGUAAAGAAGCACCGGCUAACUACGUG